rnacentral:rRNA from 1 species
UUGGAAGUAAAAAUCGUAACAAGGUUUCCGUAGGUGAACCUGCGGAAGGAUCAUUACCGAGUUGAUUCGAGCUCCGGCUCGACUCUCCCACCCUAUGUGUACCUACCUCUGUUGCUUUGGCGGGCCGCGGUCCUCCGCACCGGCGCCCUUCGGGGGGCUGGCCAGCGCCCGCCAGAGGACCAUAAAACUCCAGUCAGUGAACUUCGCAGUCUGAAAAACAAGUUAAUAAACUAAAACUUUCAACAACGGAUCUCUUGGUUCUGGCAUCGAUGAAGAACGCAGCGAAAUGCGAUAAGUAAUGUGAAUUGCAGAAUUCAGUGAAUCAUCGAAUCUUUGAACGCACAUUGCGCCCCUUGGUAUUCCGAGGGGCAUGCCUGUUCGAGCGUCAUUUCAACCCUCAAGCUCUGCUUGGUAUUGGGCCCCGUCCUCCACGGACGCGCCUUAAAGACCUCGGCGGUGGCGUCUUGCCUCAAGCGUAGUAGAAAACACCUCGCUUUGGAGCGCACGGCGUCGCCCGCCGGACGAACCUUUGAAUUAUUUCUCAAGGUGACCUCGAUCAGUAGAACCCCCG